GGUAUCUCCCCCUUCCAGUGCGUUUACGGCUAUCAGCCCCCACUGUUUCCAUCUCUGGAGAAGGACCUGGCCGUACCUUCGAUACAGCAGCAGUUUCGCCAAUGCCAUCGGACCUGGCAUCGCGCCCGGACAUCGCUGCUGAGAGCCUUGGGUCAGUACCAGCAACAGGCUAACCGCCGACGCACUCCUGCUCCAGCAUACUCAGUGGGAGACAAGUUUAUUAAGCUGUACAGAUCACACAGCGGAACACGAGGAUCCUUCUAGACAACUCUGAUGAACAGGUAAUCAAAAAGUAAUUUGGGAAUGUGGCAAAGCAGGAGUUCUAAAUUAGAUUUGAACUGGGACCAAAAUCGUGGGGACCGACAGGAGGCAUUUGCACAUUUUUUAUUUUAUGUGCAAUUGUUAUUUUUCAUUUUACUGAUGUGCUUACCCACAAAGUCUAGAGUUCUACGAGGUCUACCUUUCUUUGUGAGGACCCGGACAGCUUUUUUUCUGUGUGGUAAGACGAAUGUGUAAAUGUUUUAGUUAUUCAAAUUUGCAUAAAAAUGGGAACAGAAUGGGAAGGGAAAAAAAGAGAACUUUAAAAAGGGGGUGAUUAUUGGUUAUACUUUCUGUAUGUUUUUUUCUGUAGAAUACAGACCCAGGGAAGACUUGUGUCCAGGGAGUUUAAAUGAAGCUUAGGCGAAAAUUCAGUCAGGAACACUGGACAGGCUGUGCUGUUCCCUGGUGGCCUCCUCUCUCCCUGGGGGGGCACGGCCAGCUGAUUAGGGGCGGGGUCGGGUAGUAUCAGGUGGGUGUCGUUCCCGUAAACCAAUCUUAUUGAUGCAGGCAAACAUUAAAAACCGUUCACCUCUCUUUUGCUGUCAGUUGGCAUUUCAGCAUGCUCUAAAGGUGAAGCGUAGCAUAGCAUUCUGUACGAGGCAGCAAGUGGUGUAAGCACCAAGCUUCCCUCUGUCCAGGUGUGAGUGGGUGAGGCUCACAGCUGGCAGAGAGCGAUUCGAUCCCUCCCGAUACGCGCAUUCAUCAGAGGGUACAGAACCAGAACCACAAUAAGCAAAAGCACAAAUUAAUCUUUUAUUAAAAGCCUGGCAGCAAACACUCGGCAUGUGGUUAAGAGGGUACCGUUCGCUCUGUGGGGGAGCGACAAGCACACUACGCGUCUAACUGGGAGAUCGCUGCACCGGGACGUGUUCUCCCCCAGACACUCCGGGCCAUCGAGGAAGGACAUCACCGUCAUCUCCACGCUGGGAAACGCGCAGAUUCCGUCCACAGCAAGCAGCAGCGUAGCCCUCAACACUCAGCACGGCAAGCGACACUCCACAGCCACGCGGAUUGAAGCGGCUCGGCGUUUCACAGGCAUCCGCAGUCCCCGAUCGUCCACCGGGCGGGCAUGCAGAUACUAAACGGCUCAGGUGAAGCUCCGCGACACAAGCUACCGGCCACCGGCCUCCAUGUGAUGCCAGCGCGGCGUCGGGAGGCGACGCUCCGGGAGGGUAAAGUAGCAGCUCCACAGUUGAGAACGCAGCUCUGGCGUCCACGAGACGUUAGUUGCGCGGUGUAAUGUAAUGUACAAUGUAAUGUUUACUCUGAGAGGUGGCAUGAGUCAACGGUAGACUCCUUCAGGACUGAGUAGCGAUUUCAGCGCGAACAAUGGGAUUAAAUGUUUUCCCUUCUGGCAAUGUCGGAGGGCACUUCAGUGUCCCCUUGCAGGGGACCACCAUUGUUCCUUACAGUCUCCCUUAGAAAAUCGAAUGUGACGUGACCUGGAUUAACAUGUCUGUUUUUCCUAGGUUUGACGUUACCUGGCUUAACGUGUCUGUUUCCUGGACUAACGGGACCACAUCAAUUUCCCAAAAGAUGUCCGGAUGGACCUGUCAAGCUGACUACCUUUCUUCUUUGCGGUCUCACAGGACCAGUCAAGCUGACUACCUUUCUUCUUCGCGGUCUCAAGGGGCCAGUCAAGCUGACUACCUUUCCAUUUCGCGGUCCUGCG
ensembl:lncRNA